GUUGAACGCUGGCGGCGUGCUUAACACAUGCAAGUCGAACGAGAAAUGUAGACGGACACCUUCGGGCGGAAGCCUUCAUUUCGAGUGGCGGACGGGUGAGUAACGCGUGGGUAACCUGCCUCAUACAGGGGGAUAACAGUUGGAAACGACUGUUAAUACCGCAUAAGACCACAGCAUCGCAUGAUGCGGGGGUAAAAACUCCGGUGGUAUGAGAUGGACCCGCGUUCGAUUAGCCAGUUGGCGGGGUAACGGCCCACCAAAGCGACGAUCGAUAGCCGAUCUGAGAGGAUGACCGGCCACAGUGGGACUGAGACACGGCCCAAACUCCUACGGGAGGCAGCAGUGGGGAAUAUUGCACAAUGGGGGAAACCCUGAUGCAGCGACGCCGCGUGAGUGAAGAAGUACUUCGGUAUGUAAAGCUCUAUCAGCAGGGAAGAAAAUGACGGUACCUGAGGAAGAAGCCCCGGCUAACUACGUG
rnacentral:rRNA from 1 species